CUGCAUUUCACUUCAUUCUGCAGAGACCUGGCUGCAGCCCUGGACUCCUUAGCAAGAUGACUUGCACCCUCUCAGAAUAAUACAGGAAAGGGUAUAUCUGAAGCAACGUGUUUCAAAAGUUAAUGGCUUAAAAAUGGAGGAUCACAAUUCCUUCAAAGCAUUUUAUAUUUUUGGCUAUCAUUAUGAAAUAUCCAGGCAAGGUAAAAGAAGCAAGAGAUAUUCCUACGCCUUGAUUGUACACCAAUUUAUUUCUCUACUGAUUGAACUUUCUGUUUGCAACAGUUAGUCCGACAAGGUCCCUCCACGGGGAAGUUUUGGAUGUGAACAAGGGAACUAAUACCACCGUAUGUAGAAGAGAUCAUUCACAGUGACUAGCUGUUUCUGUCUUGGCUAAGGAGAGAAAGAUACUUCAGGGAAUGCUGAGGAAGUCUUGGAGCCUGAAUAAUUCUGGAGUCCUGAAGUAGGUGAAGGGAGGCCUGGGCUGGCUCAGGUAUCUAGCAUGGUGCAGCAUGACCAGGAGGAAAAAAGACCAUGGGACCAGCUCUUCCCAAACUAUGGGUUAACAGGUUGGUAACUGGUGUGGUGCAGCUUGUAGGACUUGGGGAAAAGGAUGAGGAGGACCAGGUAAAUCGCCCAUGUCACUUCCUUGGAGCAUCUGUCAGCAUUUCAGAUUUCAAUGUUCUGCUUGUCUCCCACGUAUCAAACGUCAGUUGGGAGUUUGCUGGACAAAGAAGAUGACAGAAGCAAAAAUAGUUUGUUUCUUCCACUUGAACACAGCAUGUGCUGCCUGAAUUGUCUUUACAUCAUGCUAUUUUCUGCUGGUUGUGGCAGCCCUGGAGGAGUGUACAGGCUGGUGCACUUCUUGCCUCCAUGGCCAAAACCCAAAUUCAGUGGAGGCAAGACAGUUUGUGCUAGCUCCAACAGAUGAGAUCAUCACAGCAUCUUGCAGUGGGUGACUUCUUGGUGAUUCCCAGGAAACAGAUGGCAGAGGGAUUAUCACUCCAGCCACACAAGCACGGUCCAAGUCCUGUCUUGACAAACAUAAUAACUAACCCAUAGGACUUAUCAGAGGUUUCUGAAUGAGAUUCAUCUGCCCUAACUUUGGCAGCCAGAGAUGGACCCCUUAAACUGGUCCUCUGCAUUAUUAUUCUGUGUCAUCUGAGAUCAACAGCAAUUCCUUUACUUGUUCACCAGGGCCUGUCCCAGUCCCUCAUCCCUGUCUUUUCUGGGCCUAUAACCUCUUAUACCAGCAAAGGGAUAUUGCACACAAUUCACGAAAGUGUGGGUCAACAAAAGUUACACUUCACCCAGACCAAAGAUAGUCCCUUCACAUCAAAACGAGGGAGGUGAUGAAUUCUCAGAGAGGACAGCUAGAAGAGAUAUUUCUUCACUGUCUCAGACUGCAAUUCAACAGUAUAGCUCUUGCUGUGUAAUUGAGGUUGGACACAGGAGUAGCUGAGGUGAAAGACAUGGGCUCUGUCUGGAUCCAGUUCACUGGAAGAAACUCUUAUCAGAAUAUAACAUGACUGGUUCUUUGUUUGUGUCUACACUUGCCUUCUUGCAGAUGCUGCUGUAAAACUGCAAAUUGCAAAGUGAUCCUCUUCCCUUGCAUGAUGGCACCCUGUUUGCUUUUGUGACCCUGGGCAUCUUCUUAGGGCUUUUUUUCCCAUUCAGAGAAUCUGAUUCUCAGGAGCACACCUCUCCUCUAGUGGACUCCAUUCUCAUUUUCCUUCUGUCCCUUGGUAUUGUCCAUGGACAGAGGCAUUUCCCAGAGGCUCACAGAGUGUCUGUUGUUUGUUGCAUGCCCAUGUCUUGGCAGCCACAGAACACCCUACUGCUCUUGGUCAUACCCUCAGGGCACUCGCCACAACCUUGCCCAGUUUGUAGACCUCUGUAGGGAAGUCCCCAAUGUCACUGAAGUAGUACAGUCAGUAGACUCUUAACCAUCCAAGCAAAACUUGCAUGAAAGAUGCUCACCUUGGAAUCUGAGUAGGCCCAUUACUCCUAGAGGUAGUUGGGAAUGCAGGAGGCACUAUUUGAGAAGGAUGACCUCUGAGAAGGUAUUUGGCUGAUGUUUGGUGUUCCGAUGGCUGAGGCAGGUAAUUGGAAAGCAAGUGAGGAGAUGGUCAACCGUGGUGAGCACUAAAAGAAGGGAGUGUGUAUGCAGCCUUCAAAAUGAGAGCUUCUGUUCUGUAUUGCAAUACUGAACUCAGAAAUAUCUUAGUAAAACUUCGUGCCCCAGUUCCAAUACUGGCAGCUUUAUGAGAAAGCUCCCUUCUCCCUCGAAUCAAGUUAAUAUUUCCUCGAUGAUUUAAGGAGGUGAUCAGUGCUCCAAUGGUUGUGUGAACUUCUAAUAUUAUGAGACUUUUCUGAAAUGGCAUCUGCUUUUAAACUGCAUUUGUCACACAUUUCACAGGAAAGCAGCAUUCCACCAUCAUCUGUCCCAUUCAGACACACUUUGGUGUUGGAAGCUUUGGUAAUUCCUGUUAUGUAGGUGAUUUAGACACAGUUUGUCAAGUUACUGGAUUUGUCCAAAGGCAAAACAUUUAAGAAGGCUGUUUGGAGGAUGCAGUUUUACAACUGACCUAACAAUCUAAGACUGCUCUUGGUACUGUAAGUGGGAGAUCCUUGGCUAGAAGGGUUGGGGAAGGUGAAGCUGCCCCUUUUGAUGGCAGAUCAAAGACAGUUUCAUAAUUUCUCUAAACUUAAAAGUACAGAUGAGAAGAGCAGACUUACCUUCUUUGGCCUGGUUUAUCCCAGCACUCACAGUCAAAGCAUGAUGGGAUUUCUUCAGCAUUGUGCUCUAUAGACAUAAAAAUAAUGUGCACAACUACUCUUUGUUAUUUUUUUUCUUCUGGAACUUCAGGGAGAAUUUCAUUUUAUUAUAGACAUGAUACUAGUUGUAAUAUCUUGAUAGUUUUCUGCCCUGGUCUGUGUCUCAAGGGUUGUUUUCUGAUCAAAAUUCUGUACAAUAUAAGCAUUCUUUUAUCUGUGUUAUUUAUCACACACGAUGGACUUCCUGUUUAGUUAGGUGCACUAGUUAUGCCACUUAAUAGACUUCAACCAUUUUUUUUUCCUCCUCUAAGAGCAACUUUUACUUCUAUCUUGUGCAUAAAAAAUCCUAUGGUAAGUAUUAUGGCUAUGUGAUGAGAACAGACUGUGAUCGUACGGACUUUGUUAUAUUUUAUGUGAGAAAUAUAGUCCUUUUUCUAAAAUACAUUAAUAUUCUACUCUUCAGAAUUUGAAAUUCUGAUACUGUAACUAAAUGGCAAAAUAGCACAGCCAAAACUUCCUGCUUGCAAAUGUCUAUUUUUGGACUAACAGAUGCAAAAAUACUUAAUACUUGUCUGUAUUUCUUUCAGAUGAAGGCUUACAUGAUUGCCUUUUUUUAAACUUUCUUAUAAAAGUUAUUCUUGUAAAUGCAUUUCAUAUAUUCGGUUUGUAUACCCUUCAUUUUUCCCCAAACUGUGUUGAUUUUUCACUGUUUUCCUGAAAAAAAUGCCUAGAGCCACAGCUAAAGCAGAAGAGGAGAGACAAGUGAUAUAUUAGCCAUCACAAAAUACUUUAUUUGAAGAGGAAAAGUGUUUCUAUUUUAUAAGGCAUGAUUAAAUUUCUUGUGAUUCAUUUUCAGUCUGGAGCUUUUUAACCAGACUGAUGAGAAGUCUGGCUGAAUGUCUUCAGUCUUCUUACAGGAUAAAAUAGCAUCUUUAACAGAUGUGAUAGAGGUCAGCUGGAAUCAUCCUACUGUGCCACUGCAGAAUACCUUUUGUGUUAAACAGAGACAAGUUUCAUUGCAUUGUCCCAAACCCAAGCUAAAGCCUUAUUAAAAGAGAAAAAGCCAAUUGUAAGUAAGUUCCAUAUUUUAAUAAAUUGUUAGGUUUAGGAAGAAGAAUUAACUUUCUUUCUUUUUUUUUUUUUUUUUUUUUGUGGAAUUUCUGCUAAUCUCAUUUCAAGCACAUCAAUAGAACAAGAAUUAAGAGAAAUUCUUGGCUCCAAGCUUAUUAUCAAGGAAGAGUAUUUCAGGUAUACACAAAGGGACGAUAAAUACUCCUAAAAUUCCCCUCUAGGUGAAGACCAUUUUCCUACUAAUUUAGUAUUUUCCUGCUAAUGAAGAACUAAGGGGUUUCUGCACAUCUCAUUUUUCAGCCUGUAAGUCUGAUUACUCACAGCAACUCCAAGGAACUAACAAACAGUGAAAACAGGGAAUGACUGUGUUCUGUUUCCAGUCAUGCCCUAAUUUAGAGAUUGCAAGGUUGUUUGUAAACCUUGUUAAGGAUAUUCACAGUGGUGAACACAGUUAAACAACCAAGGUUAUUUCCAAUGUCCCAAAGUUUUUUUUCCUCCAUAGACUGUCACAGUUGUCUGGAAGCCUUAAAUUCUGGGCCAUAAUAAACUACUUAAACUCUGGGAACCCUUGGCUGUUAGUUCUGUGUGGUGGGGACUGGAGAAAUAGUUCUUACCUGCAUUGCCAGUGGGUAGAAAUUAUUUGCAGACACUGGAGUGGACAGGGAAAUCAGUAUGAAAGUUAUGAACCAGAAGGAAUAUCUUGUAUAUUCAGCCUGAAAGGCAGCCUAGAUGUGUGCAAGUUCAGUCAGUCCCACUCUGGGUACCAUUCUUAACUUCCAAAAUAUGGGUUUGUGCAUCUUCUGAUAGCCAUCCUAGCUUAUAAACUUUCUGUUAUAUGGAUGGGGUUCUACGACUAAGCUGUCCAAAUAUACCGAGACAUAUGCUCCUGACACUAUGCAUUUUGCCUGAAUUACAGAAUGUUGGGAUGAUGAGCCAUCUCUCUUUCUCAGUCCUAUGCGUCUUCUUUCUCUUGCAUAAAAAAUACACGCACAGUGUCCAUGGUAUGCCUAUUUGUCUAACAUGCAAUGUGAACAUUGUUGUAUUUUUCAUCUUCUGUUGCUGUUCCAGUUUUGAGAGGCUCCUGCAACAGCCACAGUUAAGCUUCCUCCAGAGAGCUUGGAGCAUUUUCCUCUGGAUCCUCCUAGUUUCCUCUCCCUGAGCACAUCCUGAAUUCACCCUAAACCAGUCUUGAACAGUUGCUUUCAGCAAGGUGGGAAAGGGAAAACGCCACUGUACUCGCUCCACUGUUCUGUAAUAGCACUGCCUUGUCCUUGUAGGACUCCUCCUCCUGGUGAAGCAUCCCUCGCACUGUCCCAGCCUUCUCCUCUCUCCAUGAACCAGCCAACAGAUUUUCAGGAGUAUCCACCUUCAGCAGUCAGACUACGUCUGCAGUCAUUAUCACUGUGACCUGCUCUGUCCUGGCAACAUUCUUUCCCCAAAAGAAAGUAGGCAGAGAAAUGCAUGGACAGACAAAGAGGUUCAUUGUCAGAUGAGGCCAAACAAUGUCUUGUACAUGUCACUUGAACACCAAGGAAAAUAUUUGUACAUUUGGGAGUUUUUUGAUAACUUGACUUUUCUCUUUCAGGUUGGCUGGUUCCCUCCUGAAUAGUUGCCCUUUUAUCAUUAAUAUACUUAGUCUUGAUGAUCCUUUCUGAUGACAUAUUGAAGUCUGAGAAACAUAGGCUCUGGAGCAACCCACAUGGACUAGGAUUUAUUUGGAUCUCAGAUCUGGAGGCAAAUGACUGAGCCUGGAGUAGAACUUAAGUCAACACCACCUGGGUGAAGACACAGUGACUGAAUUACCUGAGCACUGGGAGAUUACUAUGGAUGCUUUACCUACUUUAAACUUGGUGAGGAAAAAUGUACAUGCUUACCCUUGAAGGAAAAGUUAUUCCAGAAUACAAAAGCAGGGUAAUGUCAAAGCUAAUGCAGGGAAAUGUCAAAUUUAAUACAGGGAGUACUGGUGAAAGUCAAACUCCGGAAGAGGAAAAACUCAGCAGACAGACACCACAAUUCCAAGAAUGGCUAAGGAAAGCAUCGGAAAUGUUUUUAAAGAUGGGCCAUGGAACUGACUGGCUUUUUCUUAUGCCUUAUUGGGGAGUGUGGUUUGAUAUAAAUUACUUUCUAUGAUAACCAUCUACUGACUCUUCAGAAGCUGUGGCAUUCACCAGUACAUCUGUUGCAAAGUUGAACAUUGUCACUGCAUAAAGAUAAAAAGGAAAAAUAAAUGGACGGGGUAGUAAGAGCUUUGGGGCAUCAGGCAUCAUUAAAAGUGAAAGGUGCUUGUUGAUUUUUGCUUAACACUCAUGCAUGUACUGUGCUUGUUGUCUUGCCACAGAGGCCUCAGGGAUAUCUGAUGUGGUUCUGCCUUGUUUCAAGGAAGAGAUACAGCUCUCCGAAAACUGACUUGUGCAUGAGGUACCAAAUGUGCUGGGAAGGGGAUGUGUUUACUCUACUGUGGUCAGCUUUCUGUUCACACUAAUGCAGGGGAAGCUCAAAGCUCCAUCCUUUACAGAACUGUGCCAUGCUAUAUCCCUGACCAGAACAUGUGGACAAGAAUUCAUGUGAUACACCAUGGCUCAAGAAUUCGCUUUAAAAUUCCCUUCUUGUGCUGGACCUUGGUUUAAAUUUAUAUCAGAACAGGGGAAUCCAUGAUUAUAGGGGCAGGUGUGAGGGUCUGAAAUGGUUAAUGGCUUAAACAUUGUUAAAAUCAUCGAAGGACUUUUGCCCACUGUAGCAAACUGCAAAGAAACAGGGGUUCAUCUUUGACCACUGAAGCCCACCCCUCAGCAAAUAUGCCUACUAACUGGAAUUUGGACUGUGAUGGGAACUUAAGAAGAAGGGCUACUACUGUCCAGUCAUCCCUGUUCCAGGGAGGAGCAUGCACUGUCUCUCAAGCAAGGUUUUAGUCUUACAAGUGUUUCUAGAAAACUACUAGGUUAACAGUCAGGAGCAGUGAAAAACCCACUUGUAUAUUAGAGGGGAUUAGAAAGGAACAUAGCAAAGCAGUUACGCCACUGUGUAAAUUGAUGGUUUGCUCUUAUCUGAAAUGCCAUGUCUCCUUUCUUCCAUUUCAGAAUGGGUGGUACCCAUGGAAAAGUUUAAAGGUAGACCACAAGGGUGAUCAAAGUAUGGAAUAUAUUCUGUGCAAGGAAUGCCCAGAUUGACUGGAAAAGAACUAUCUUGAGGGAUGAGAUACUACAAAGUCUCUGAAAUCAUGACUAGCAUUGAAGAAAUAGUCCUUCAGUGUCUGUUUAGUACAAAAAUGAAAGACGCUGAGAGAAACUAGUUGGUGUAUGUUCAAUAUAAAAGAGAGUCCUUGUUCUGGUUCUUCCCACAUACACAGGUGGCAGACACGUGGCCACCUUGGAACUUCAAGGAGUUCAAAUGGCAACUGAACAAAACUCCCAGAAGAACCCAUGACAGUCUUUAAACACAUUAAUCCUCUCUGGGUCAGUAAAAUCCUUAUUCUUCAAACUGCUGGAGGGAAAAUAUUUGUAAUGUACAGUGAUACAUGUUUUUCUCUUUGGGUGUUGGCAACUAGCAACUGUGAUAGGAUACAGAUUCAGAGAGCCCCUCUUUCUGACCAAUAGAGCCAUCCUGACACAAGCUUUUUACAAAUAUGGGCUUGUGAAAAGAGAACAGAGAGGACCUUGCAGUACAAGUCACCAAAAUGGAAACUGUCCUCCUGGCUUGGAGAAAUGGCCUCUUUGAGGAAUCACCCGAAGCCCUUUGGACAUCCAGUGUAGGAAAGAUUAAUUGGGAAUGAAAAUGGCAAGACAGAUUCCAUUUUUCCAUACAAUAAUGACACAUUAAAAAUAAAAGUAAAAUAAAGCAAGCUGCCACAAAAUAUCCCCUUUAACUAGACUCUUCAUUCUCUUUAUGAGAGUAUACAAAAGAUACAAAAAGGAUUCCUGUCAGGGUAGCACAAUAGAAGUGUCCACUUCAUAAGUGCUUGUACAAAGAGCAAAGUGUUUUGUGAAUAUUAGCCCAUUUUUUUUACAAGUGAUGUGAAAAGGGCCCAGAGCAUACGUAAGAAAGCUCCCUCCUAUCCUGCACACAUUCCCCAGAUAAGCUACUUGCAGUAAGGAAACAACAAUAUUGUGUUGUCUUUAAUAAUUGGGAUUUUUGCAGUCAAUGAAAGCAAUUGGGGCAAAAAUUACUAAGACAAAUGGGCAGACCAAGGCAGAAGAACAAAUUAUUUUAAUCUAUUCCCAUAACAUACCUUAUAAUCUGUUUAGGUGGUUACCAGGGCCUCACAAACUGUUGAUCUGCAUGAACUCCUGUUGUGCUUUCACACAGGAGAGUGGAAGUGGUAUGUGUGUAACAUGACAUGUGAGCCUACUACUUCUAAAUGAACUGCAUGUGUUAGUACUUACACAAAUUAAUCAGAAGUCCUUAGGCGGAAAGAGAGAGCUGGAGAUACGUGAUCCAACUCACCUGGUCAGGCAGGGUCACCUAGAGCAUGUUGCCAGAAACUGUGUCCAGUCACAAUUUAAACCUCUUCAAGGAUGACAACUCCACAACCUCUUUGGGUAACCUGUUUGAUCAUGCUCACAGCAAAAAGUGGGGUUUUUUGUUCAGAACGUGCACAGAUUGCAGAUCCUGGUGUCAUGUGAUGGGUUUCUCUGUGUUUUGUGUGUGUUUUGCUGCAGUGCAUUUGUUUUGUAUCCAUUUGUACAGAUGUUUCAAAUAUAAACACUUAUGACUGAGCUAUAUUUAGCUUUUGCAUGUGUCCUCCUGUUGUAAGUCAUCAGGUAACUGUUCUGCUAGCAGACAGGACAGGAAACAGAUAGUAGGAGAAAAGGUUCUGAGUUUUUGUGUGCAGUAGGUAACUUACCACCUAAUUUCCAAAUUUCUAUCACUCAUUUGCCUGGAGAUUGAUAAUAUAUAUCUAUGAUCUUCUCAAUUCUAAGUUUCUUUUCCCCCUUUAAAGUUUCAAGUUAGUAAAUUAUGCUUAGUUUUAGUUUCACUCCCUUUUGAAAAUAAUGUAUAGAGAAGUGAUGGCCGUUUCAGAACUGAGUAGUGAUAAAAAUGCUUAUCCUUCUUA